CUGGAGGGAGGGGUGAUAGCGAGCGAGGGCAUUUAGGUUCACAGGACGCUGUUGAUUCCACGUCUUUGUGUGGAACGUCACAAAUGUGUUAAUGCUUUUAGACCGCGCAUGGAAUUACGUGAGCGCACGCGCGCGCGCGUGUAUGUGUGCGCGCGUGUGUCCGUGUAGUAUGUUCGUGGGGAGCGGUAGUGUAGCGGUUAGCGCGCUGCGCUGCGAACGCGGAGUUGGAUUCCCGCUCACGGCCACCAACAUCGGUGACGAUUGUCUGAACCGUUCCCUGGCCUCCACGAGCUUGACUCAGCCUCAUAAGUGCUCGCUAACAGCACUGGCCCGAACAGUUUGCUACAGCCUAUACAGGCGAUCUGUGUCUGUUUCAAGGACAUCUGUGCUCAGCUUGCAUCGAACAUCCGGAGUUGAAACUUCCCACGCCGAUGAAGCCCACGUGGAACCAAGCGCAGAGAGAUGCAGGCGCGGGAUUUACACCGAGAGACAGAAGGAGGUGAACACGUGGAUCAGAGGCGCCACGCGGACUGCGAACUCGAACUUCGUAUAUGGGGUGGUGCCUUACCUGGCUAACAAACGCCAUGACCUCGCCAACUUCGCCUGUGCUCAGGCGAAGUUAGCGGUGUACAGGACGAAGAAAAGGAAGCUGCAAGGUGACACUGACGGCUGCUCUGUGCUGCUUCCAAUGUUCAGAAGCCUGCUUAAGGCGCGGCUCCGGCUGGAGCACGCCAUGUACCACACACACGUGUCGGUG